rnacentral:lncRNA from 1 species
AUUCACAUCUGUCAGUAGAUGUGUGUCCUGGACUCUGACUCAUGCUGAGUACUAAUGGCCAAUUCAAGCCAAUUACAGCCGUGAUUGUAGAGCUCUUGGCAUUUGGCCGCAUGAGGAGAGAAACCUGUUUGGAUUUGUCUGGCCAGGUAGUGAGCAGUGAGGGACAUGAAAUCAUAAAAAAAAAUCAAAUCUCUACACAGGAUAGAACAAGUACUAAGCAAAUAAAUCUCAAUAAACCUUUUGAUUAAGCUCGUAUCUGUCAGCACACAGUUUUCUCACAAUGCCAUGUUGUCCAUGGCGACUCUUCUCACGGUCAGGGCUGUGAUGGCUCCAGAAAGAGGCUUGUCUGUUUUCUGCCCACAUACGAGAUGACCUGGGCAGACGCACGCUGCCCGAGAGACAAGUUGCCAUUCCCACAUACCGGAACACUGAGAGAGUAACUCAAGAGACGUAGGAGCGGGCGUGUCUCACGUGACAGGCUGAUCGCUUUUUCGAUGACCACUGUUAAACGGGCCGCAUGCUGACACAGUAAACCCCACAGCAAGGACGACCAUUACAAAUCAGUCCCCAGCCCGUCCUCUUCUCCUCCUCCUGCCAAGACACCAUACCUGCCGCUCGCCCUGGCCAGCCGUCGCGCCCCUUAUGAAUCAAAGACACCGGAGCACAAAUAGACCGAGACAAGGACUUAUGAGCACUUCGCUCCGCCUCCCCUGCUGUCUUUUCUCUCUCUGUCUUUCUCUGUCCCUCUCUGUCUCCUGCAGUCUGUACAUUUGUCUCUCCCCUCUACUACAUCUAUCUGUCUAGCUGGGUCAGAUGAUAAAUCGGCAGGGCAGGACCUGCCCAGGUUACACUCUGUUCACAACAGCUAACAUACAUAGCGGAUCAACAUAUACAAGGAAACGUGCACGCCCAGCCCCUCCUCGGCCCCUCCGCCCAACCACAAACACAUCUCUCCGUCUUGAAUUGAGAUCCUUUAUUGGCACAACUAUUUACAAGAAAAACAAUAUUACAUGCCUCCAUGCGGACAAGUACCCCAUCUAAUAAACAGGGACAAGUAGAGAUGCAGUGCGGCCCAGACUCCGGUCUGCUUCACUGGACCAGAACACAGCCAUUUCAUCUGUUGAGCCAGCAGGCCAAAUCAAGUGGUCUUUAUUAAAGUCGCUUUGAUGGAUUCACCCAUGGCCUCCCCCGCUGUGAUCUAUCGCCUGUCCAGCCCUUGGAGGUCGUAAUAAACUUGUUUAGCUGUGGGGUCACUGCAUGCAAGCGGAGCAUGUGCGUAAGCAUGUGUGUGUGUGUGUGUGUGUGUGUGUGUGUGUUUGUGCGUGUGCGGGUCCCUUUUACAAUUCGCGGCUCUGGUCUGUCGUCACGACAAGCGCUUCGUGUAUUCAUAGCCGCUGGCACUCAAACCACUUGUGAUGAUGUUUGUAGUUUCCUCACAGAUUGUGGCAUGAUUGCAUCAUAUAUUUAUACAUAGACAUUGAAGAUACGGAGAGCCACAAUAGCAGUGCCGUUAUCCCUUUGAGUAGUUUAACUACGUCUUGAGCAGCGACUGCGGAUUUCCUAACAGGGUAGUAAAUCUCAGGAGCCUGCAUAAGUCCUCCACAAUCUCAGUGAAGCCAUGCACAGUGUGUAUUUUUAAAUUAUCAGAAAACAAAUGUUUUUUUGUAUCUGUGAUGCUGACUUGGCUAAGCAAGACAUGUGACAUUUAAGGAAAAUCUUCAGAAGUGUGAAGACAGAAGUGCUCCGUCUGCCCAUUUGUCAGUGAAUCAAGCACAACACCUAUGGAUGUUGUUACACAUCGCCAACCGUUGUCCUCAUGUGUCGUCUUCCAGCUUGGCGGCGGCUGCCGUCCCCAGCGUAUACGGGCAGAUGCAGGUCACUGUUUGUUGAGAUGAAACCCAUCCACUUUCUAAAAGGCACC